rnacentral:rRNA from 1 species
UACGUAGGGGGCAAGCGUUGUCCGGAUUUAUUGGGCGUAAAGAGCGUGUAGGCGGUUAUACAGGUCCGCUGUGAAAACUGGAGGCUUAACCUCCAGACGUCGGUGGAAACCGUAUGACUAGAGUCCGGAAGAGGAGAGUGGAAUUCCUGGUGUAGCGGUGAAAUGCGCAGAUAUCAGGAAGAACACCCGUGGCGAAGGUGGCUCUCUGGGACGGUACUGACGCUGAGACGCGAAAGCGUGGGGAGCGAACAGG